UCCGAGUUGACCCCGGCAGUCUCCCAUGAGUCCCCGGCACAACCCGCUGGCAACAUGGAACGAGGGUUGCGCUCGUUGCGGGACUUAACCCAACAUCUCACGACACGAGCUGACGACAGCCAUGCACCACCUGCACACCAACCACAAGGGAACACCCAUCUCUGGAUGCGUCUGGCGCAUGUCAAACCCAGGUAAGGUGGGGAUGACGUGUCCUUGAUAGG
rnacentral:misc_RNA from 1 species